ACAUACAGUAGUCUAGUUAUUCUAACAGCUAGACAUAACAUGUCCUAUACAUACAGUAGUCUAGUUAUUCUAACAGCUAGACAUAACAUGUCCUAUACAUACAGUAGUCUAGUUAUUCUAACAGCUAGACAUGACAUGUCCUAUACAUACAGUAGUCUAGUUAUUCUAACAGCUAGACAUAACAUGUCCUAUACAUACAGUAGUCUAGUUAUUAUAACAGCUAGACAUACCACUUCCUAUACAUACAGUAGUCUAGUUAUUAUAACAGCUAGACAUAACAUGUCCUAUACAUACAGUAGUCUAGUUAUUCUAACAGCUAGACAUAACAUGUCCUAUACAUACAGUAGUCUAGUUAUUCUAACAGCUAGACAUAACAUGUCCUAUACAUACAGUAGUCUAGUUAUUAUAACAGCUCAACAUAACAUGUCCUAUACAUACAGUAGUCUAGUUAUUAUAACAGCUAGACAUAACAUGUCCUAUACAUACAGUAGUCUAGUUAUUCUAACAGCUAGACAUAACAUGUCCUAUACAUACAGUAGUCUAGUUAUUCUAACAGCUAGACAUAACAUGUCCUAUACAUACAGUAGUCUAGUUAUUCUAACAGCUAGACAUAACAUGUCCUAUACAUACAGUAGUCUAGUUAUUAUAACAGCUCAACAUAACAUGUCCUAUACAUACAGUAGUCUAGUUAUUAUAACAGCUCAACAUAACAUGUCCUAUACAUACAGUAGUCUAGUUAUUAUAACAGCUCAACAUAACAUGUCCUAUACAUACAGUAGUCUAGUUAUUCUAACAGCUAGACAUAACAUGUCCUAUACAUACAGUAGUCUAGUUAUUAUAACAGCUAGACAUACCACUUCCUAUACAUACAGUAGUCUAGUUAUUAUAAUUCUAAUAGCUCAACAUAACAUGUCCUAUACAUACAGUAGUCUAGUUAUUCUAACAGCUAGACAUAACAUGUCCUAUACAUACAGUAGUCUAGUUAUUCUAACAGCUAGACAUAACAUGUCCUAUACAUACAGUAGUCUAGUUAUUAUAACAGCUAGACAUAACAUGUCCUAUACAUACAGUAGUCUAGUUAUUCUAACAGCUAGACAUAACAUGUCCUAUACAUACAGUAGUCUAGUUAUUCUAACAGCUAGACAUAACAUGUCCUAUACAUACAGUAGUCUAGUUAUUAUAACAGCUAGACAUAACAUGUCCUAUACAUACAGUAGUCUAGUUAUUAUAACAGCUAGACAUAACAUGUCCUAUACAUACAGUAGUCUAGUUAUUAUAACAGCUAGACAUGACAUAGAGCUGUUGGCGUUGUUAUUCAUUGUGUAAUUCCUUUGUUGGUAUUAUUUCAGCCUUGUCUUGAUCUAGUUGUGAAGAUGUACAUGGACAUGAAUAUUGUGAGGAACACCUGUAUUUUCUACGUGGUCAUUACGGCCAUUGAAAUGCUUCUGGCGUUGGUAAUGAUCCGUAGAAUCCAAAAAGCCUCCUUGGCUGAGGUGACCAUGGAUCUUAGUUAUAGAAACGCAACCAACAUGGAAAUGGCAACUACUCAAACUCCUCCCAUGCUGCCUGCCGGACAAGCUCCUCCCAUGCUGCCUGCCGGACAAGCUCUUCCCAUGCUGCCUGCCACACAAGCUCAUCUUCACGCCAGCUCUUAUUACCCGCCACCACCUCCGUACCAGUACGAUGGGAAACACUAGAGGGACGUGACUGACCUGCGAACCCAUGUUGAAUUUCCUCAUUGGUUACAACUGGACCAGGGUUAGAUUUAAGGCUAGGGUUAAGUUUAGGGUUGGGGUCAGUUUGAGUGUUUUCCUUCUUUGGACUGCCAAUGUGUUGCACCCCAAUAUUCCUUAGUAAAGGCUGAGCACUUCUGUUAAUGUGAGACAAUGCAGAAGUUUGUGGGUUCUGGAAAUAACGUGGCCGAGUGAAGGGGCCCAUUGCAUUGUCAAACAAUCACC